rnacentral:rRNA from 1 species
CCUACGGGAGGCAGCAGUGAGGAAUAUUGGUCAAUGGACGAGAGUCUGAACCAGCCAAGUAGCGUGAAGGAUGACUGCCCUAUGGGUUGUAAACUUCUUUUAUAUGGGAAUAAAACGUUCCACGUGUGGGAUUUUGUAUGUACCAUAUGAAUAUGGAUCGGCUAACUCCGUGCCAGCAGCCGCGGUAAUACGGAGGAUCCGAGCGUUAUCCGGAUUUAUUGGGUUUAAAGGGAGCGUAGGUGGAUUGUUAAGUCAGUUGUGAAAGUUUGCGGCUCAACCGUAAAAUUGCAGUUGAAACUGGCAGUCUUGAGUACAGUAGAGGUGGGCGGAAUUCGUGGUGUAGCGGUGAAAUGCUUAGAUAUCACGAAGAACUCCGAUUGCGAAGGCAGUUCACUGGACUGCAACUGACACUGAGGCUCGAAAGUGUGGGUAUCAAACAGGAUUAGAUACCCCAGUAGUC